UACGGGGGGGGCAAGCGUUGUUCGGAAUUACUGGGCGUAAAGGGCGCGUAGGCGGUCAGCACAAGUCAGUUGUGAAAUCUCCGGGCUUAACUCGGAAAGGUCAACUGAUACUGUGCGACUAGAGUGCAGAAGGGGCAACUGGAAUUCAUGGUGUAGCAGUGAAAUGCGUAGAGAUCAUGAGGAAGACCAGUGGCGAAGGCGGGUCUCUGGACAGUUCCUGACACUGAGGCACGAAGGCCAGGGGAGCAAACGGG
rnacentral:rRNA from 1 species